GCACAGCGGGGACGGGGCUGUCACCCACGGGUGGCACAGGGCGCUCCUCGCCCGGGGUCCUGCACGGGCUCCGCGUUGCGUAAAGGCCCGGGGCAGAAUUAGAUACUGAGUUCGAUCUUAUUUUCUUUCUCGGAAAAAAAUGAGAGACGUUGCAGUGGGAGUCCUCAUCUCAGGGCGGACUCCUUGGCUGCAUCCUCACCCCAGCUGCGUCCCCAGCCGAAGCUUGCUGCUCCUUGGGGCACACGGGAUGCUUUGCCCCAGGGAAAGCCCCACAGAGGCCGUUCCUUUCCGAGGGUAAGGAAAACACCACUGGAGGUUUGUCCUGGAAGAACCCCCCGGAUCCAAUCCACAGAGCAACACCUCCAGAAGGGAUUUCCCUGCGGUUCCCAAAGCACCCAGCGCCUCUCCUACCGCAUGUGGGUGCCUUCAGCUGUGCGCAUUUGGAAAGAGCACCUUAGGAGAGGGCACAGCCUCGAGCAGGGCUACCUGCACCAACCUUGUUCUCUGCAAAGCCCGGGGAAGGUUUGUUUUUCUCUCCUCCAUCAGCGCAGCGUGGAUGGAGCCAUGAGAGGGGACAGCGAUGUGAAGGACCCGGAGGGGGUUUUCUUUCCCUGAGAGCCUCUGUGUGAGGGGACGGCCGGGGCUGUGGGGUGAUGCAGGGCAGGAGCAGUGCAUCCUUCCUUUCCUCCUUCAGUGCUCAGCCCCACUCAUCCCACAGCACUUGGUGCACAGCAGCAGAAGGCUCCUUGCUUCAGUAAACCACCCAAAACAUC
rnacentral:lncRNA from 7 species